CUAUCAUACCCACCUCCACAACAGAUUAAUCUAGUCGAUGAUAGAUUUAAUCAACUCCAAUAAUUGAUCAUGAUCCAACAAUAAUUUAUCAUUAGAUUAGAAGCACAAAUAGGAUAGUUAGCUGAGUCUACCAUGAGGAGAGAACCAAAUCAAUUGCCAAGUCAACCGAUAUCAAAUCUCAGGAACAACCCAUCCACCCACCAACCACCUG
rnacentral:lncRNA from 1 species